ACAUACAGUAACUUGCCUAAACACCUGGCCGGGGUUCACAUAUCGGGCUUGCACAACGUGGCGAAUAAGGAGGAGAAGCUGCUGCUAUUGAGCCUCGCCAGCGGACGGAGAGAAAAAUCACGAAAAGAAACGUCGGACGAGGAGUCAAAGGAGGAAGUCAGAAGAGGAGUCAAACGAGGAAGUCAGAAGAGGAGUCAAAGGGGGGAGCUAAAAAUACACCCUGGACAGAAAAAUCACGAAAAGAAAAGUUGGACGAGGAGUGAGAGGAGGAAGUUAGGAACAAUUAAAAAUACACCCUGAGGAGCUCAAACGUUUCCCCUCGAGGGAGGCGUAGCACGAAGCCAGUAUAAACUCUUGGGUUGAGGCAUUUUUUUUUUUAAUUUAAUUUUUUUUUUUUGUAAAUAGUUAUUGUUUGUUUUUUUUAUCUUAAGUUUGGUGUGUGUGUGUGUGUGUGUGCGGUUGGGCAGCUAUUUUUAUUGUAAAUAGUUAUUGUUUGUUUUUUUUUUAUCUUAAGUUUGGUGUGUGUGUGUGUGUGCAGUGUUGUUCUUUUUUGUGUUUUUCUGUUUUUUAUAUAAUAAAUCUGUUAAUGUUCAAGAAAUGUCUCUUUAUUCUUGUUGUAAUACAGUAAUUAUAUAAUAAUACAGUGUAAAAUGAGUUUAAUUAUAUUCUAAUAGGUAUUAGGUUAAUGCGGAGAAUUGGUAAGUCAAGGUAAUGCACUUUAUGUGGGUGUAUUUAGGUUUAUUAUUAUUAUUAUUAUUAUUAUUAUUAUUCAAAAACUUAAAAUAU